rnacentral:rRNA from 1 species
AUUGAACGCUGGCGGCGUGCCUAACACAUGCAAGUCGAGCGGAGCGGCGUACGGGUGAUUAAUGCCUAGUGAUCUGCCUGGUAGUGGGCGAUAACUUACGGGAACGGAAGCUAAUACAGCAUACUAUCAGAUGAGCCUAGGUCGUAUUAGCUAGUUGGUGGGGGAAUGGCCUACCAAGGCGACGAUCCGUAACUGGUCCGAGAGGAUGAUCAGUCACACUGGAACUGAGACACGGCCCAGACUCCUACGGGAGGCAGCAGUUGGGAAUAUUGGGCAAUGGGCGAAAGCCUGAUCCAGCCAUGCCGCGUGUGUGAAGAAGGUCUUCGGAUUGUAAAGCUCUGUAAGUUGGGAAGCGUUACCAACACAGUAAGCACCGGCUAACUUCGUGCCAGCAGCCGCGGUAAUAC